rnacentral:rRNA from 1 species
GAUUGUAACGCGUGGAUAACCUGCCCAGAAGACCGGGAUAACACCGGGAAACCGGUGCUAAUACCGGAUACGCUCUUAGGAGGAAAGGGUGCGUAAGCGCCGCUUUUGGAUGGGUCCGCGUCCCAUUAGCUAGUUGGUGUGGUAAUGGCGCACCAAGGCGACGAUGGGUAGCCGGCCUGAGAGGGUGAGCGGCCACACUGGGACUGAGACACGGCCCAGACUCCUACGGGAGGCAGCAGUGGGGAAUCUUCCGCAAUGGGCGAAAGCCUGACGGAGCAAUGCCGCGUGAGCGAAGAAGGCCUUCGGGUCGUAAAGCUCUGUCCAGGGGGAAGAAUAGAUGACGGUACCCCUGGAGGAAGCCCCGGCUAACUACGUGCCAGCAGCCGCGGUAACACGUAGGGGGCAAGCGUUGUCCGGAAUUACUGGGCGUAAAGCGCGCGUAGGCGGCUGUGCAAGUCAGAGGUGAAAACCGGCGGCUCAACUGCAGGCUGGCCUCUGAAACUGCAUGGCUUGAGGACAGGAGAGGGGAGUGGAAUUCCCAGUGUAGCGGUGAAAUGCGUAGAUAUUGGGAGGAACACCAGUGGCGAAGGCGGCUCUCUGGCCUGUAACUGACGCCGAGGCGCGAAAGCGUGGGGAUCAAACAGGAUUAGAUACCCUGGUAGUCCACGCCGUAAACGAUGGGUGCUAGGUGUUGGUGGUGUAGAAUCCACCAGUGCCGUAGUUAACGCGAUAAGCACCCCGCCUGGGAGUACGGUCGCAAGACUGAAACUCAAAGGAAUUGACGGGGGCCCGCACAAGCGGUGGAGCAUGUGGUUUAAUUCGACGCAACCCGAAGAACCUUACCAGGGCUUGACAUCCCGUGAUCGCCGUAGAG